rnacentral:lncRNA from 1 species
CUCACUGCCCCUCUGUGGGGUGCAGGGUGUGGGGUUUUGGGGACACCUCACUGUCCCUCUGUGGGGUGCAGGGUUUUGGGGACACCUCGCUGCCCCUCUGUGUCUGUAGGGUGAGCCAGGACCGCGAGGGAUCGGCCAGCCGGGACCGCAGGGAGACCCCGGCAGCACCGGACCCCCCGGACCCCCGGGCCCCCCAGGACCUCAGGGACCCCCGGGGCUGGCGGCGGAGAAAGGAGCCAAGGGAUCUCCGGGUCCCAAAGGUGCCACGGGACCCCCUGGACCACCGGGGAGCGGCGUCACAGGGCCACCGGGCCCCGAGGGGCGGCCGGGGCUCCCCGGCUCCAGCGGGCAGCCGGUAG